GUGGUUUUUUACUUCCAUUCUCUCUAGUAAGAGGCCGACUUGUCACUUCAACAUCAUCACAGUGUUCUGUUGGAAUGUGUAGGCUUUUGUCAGGCAGUUGGGAUUUCAUCUGUUCUAUCAUUUCUUGCAAAUUCUGAAUCUGCUUGUCUUUUGCUGAAGGGAGCUGAGCAUCUUCAGUACUCCUCUGCUCUGCUGGUGUUGAAGAUGGUCCACUUUCUGCUUCUGCUCUUGUAAGGACUGAAGCAGUGCUACCUUCCCCUGCUCCUGGUUGUCAAUGAUCUGUUGCUCUUUUAUUUCCCUCUCAAGGUCAUCUCUUAACUCCUUGAGUUGAAAGACCUUACACUCUAGUUCUACAGUCUCGUCUAGGAUUUUAGGUCAACCACAGGGACAGUGUGACUCUGUUGUUUCAGGUGCUCCAGGUCUUUGUUCACAGGAGGAUUUUUGUCGGGCAACCAGGCUUUCAUCUGUUCUAUCAUGUCUUGCAAAUUCUGAAUCUGCUCGUCUUUUACUGAAGGGAGCUGAGCGUGUUUAACAUUCAUCUCCUGUCAGUAGGAAGAUGAAGCCACCCAGGC